GGACCCGUAGCGCAGCUUGGAUAGCGCAUCUGCCUUCUAAGCAGGAGGUCGUGGGUUCAAAUCCCACCGGGUCCG
rnacentral:tRNA from 1 species